rnacentral:rRNA from 1 species
AGCAGUAGCCGCGGUAAUACGGAGGGUGCAAGCGUUAGUCGGAAUUACUGGGCGUAUAGCGCACGCAGGCGGUUUGUUAAGUCAGAUGUGAAAUCCCCGAGCUUAACUUGGGAACUGCAUUUGAAACUGGCAAGCUAGAGUCUUGUAGAGGGGGGUAGAAUUCCAGGUGUAGCGGUGAAAUGCGUAGAGAUCUGGAGGAAUACCGGUGGCGAAGGCGGCCCCCUGGACAAAGACUGACGCUCAGGUGCGAAAGCGUGGGGAGCAAACAGGAUUAGAUACCCCAGUAGUCCCUGUCUCUUAUAC